rnacentral:tRNA from 1 species
GAGGGUAUAGCUCAGUGGCAGAGUGCAGUGCCUAGCAUGUACAAGGUCCUGGGUUCAAUCCCCAGUACCUCCA